rnacentral:rRNA from 1 species
GACAGAGGUGCCGAGCGUUAGGCGGAAUCACUGGGCUUAAAGCGUGUGUAGGCGGGCGGGCAAGUACCUUGUGAAAUCCCACGGCUCAACCGUGGAACGGCUGGGUAUAAUGCCUGUCUUGAGCCAACUAGGGGCGAGCGGAACAGACGGUGGAGCGGUGAAAUGCGUAGAUAUCGUCUGGAACGCCGAAGGUGAAAACAGCUCGCUGGGGUUGUGCUGACGCUGAGACACGAAAGCCAGGGGAGCGAACGGG